rnacentral:rRNA from 1 species
UACGGAGGAUGCAAGCGUUAUCCGGAAUGAUUGGGCGUAAAGCGUCUGCAGGUGGCAGUUCAAGUCUGCUGUCAAAGACCGGGGCUUAACUUCGGAAAGGCAGUGGAAACUGAACAGCUAGAGUAUGGUAGGGGCAGAGGGAAUUCCUGGUGUAGCGGUGAAAUGCGUAGAGAUCAGGAGGAAUACCGAUGGCGAAGGCAGGUCUCUGGGCUAUAACUGACGCUCAUGCACGAAAGCGUGGGGAGCAAACAGG